CCUACGGGUGGCAGCAGUGAGGAAUAUUGGUCAAUGGGCGCGAGCCUGAACCAGCCAAGUAGCGUGAAGGAUGACUGCCCUACGGGUUGUAAACUUCUUUUAUAAAGGAAUAAAGUGAGGCACGUGUGCCUUUUUGUAUGUACUUUAUGAAUAAGGAUCGGCUAACUCCGUGCCAGCAGCCGCGGUAAUACGGCGGGUCCGAGCGGUAUCCGGAGUUAUUGGGUUUAAAGGGAGCGUAGAUGGGUGGUUAAGUCAGUUGUGAAAGGUUGCGGCUCAACCGUCAAAUUGCAAUUGAUACUGGCAGUCUUGAGUACAGUUGAGGUAGGCGGAAUUCGUGGUGUAGCGGUGAAAUGCUUAGAUAUCACGAAGAACUCCGAUUGCGAAGGCAGCUUACUAAACUGCCACUGACAUUGAUGCUCGAAAGUGUGGGUAUCAAACAGGAUUAGAUACCCUGGUAGUC
rnacentral:rRNA from 1 species